GACGAACGCUGGCGGCGUGCUUAACACAUGCAAGUCGAACGGAAAGGCCCCUUUGGGGGUACUCGAGUGGCGAACGGGUGAGUAACACGUGCGUAACCUGCCCUUGACUUCGGGAUUACUUCAGGUAACUGGGGCUAAUACCGGAUAGGAAUCCUUGCUGCAUGGUGGGGGUUGGAAAGUUUCGGCGGUUUUGGAUGGACUUGCGGCUUAUCAGCUUGUUGGUGGGGUAGUGGCUUACCAAGGCUUUGACGGGUAGCCGGCCUGAGAGGGCGACCGGCCACAUUGGGACUGAGAGACGGCCCAGACACCUACGGGAGGCAGCAGUGGGGAAUAUUGCACAAUGGGCGGAAGCCUGAUGCAGCAACGCCGCGUGCGGGAUGACGGCCUUCGGGUUGUAAACCGCUUUCAGCAGGGGCGAAGCUUGUGGUGACGGUACCUGCAGAAGAAGCACCGGCUAACUACGUG
rnacentral:rRNA from 1 species